GCAUCGGUGGUUCAGUGGUAGAAUGCUGCCGGUCUACGCUCGGUGGCCCGGAUCGAUUCCCGGCCGAUGAA